rnacentral:rRNA from 1 species
GGGGGGAUUAGUGGCGAACGGGUGAGUAACACGUGAGUAACCUGCCCUUAACUCUGGGAUAAGCCUGGGAAACUGGGUCUAAUACCGGAUAUGACUCCUCAUCGCAUGGUGGGGGGUGGAAAGCUUUAUUGUGGUUUUGGAUGGACUCGCGGCCUAUCAGCUUGUUGGUGAGGUAAUGGCUCACCAAGGCGACGACGGGUAGCCGGCCUGAGAGGGUGACCGGCCACACUGGGACUGAGACACGGCCCAGACUCCUACGGGAGGCAGCAGUGGGGAAUAUUGCACAAUGGGCGCAAGCCUGAUGCAGCGACGCCGCGUGAGGGAUGACGGCCUUCGGGUUGUAAACCUCUUUCAGUAGGGAAGAAGCGAAAGUGACGGUACCUGCAGAAGAAGCGCCGGCUAACUACGUGCCAGCAGCCGCGGUAAUACGUAGGGCGCAAGCGUUAUCCGGAAUUAUUGGGCGUAAAGAGCUCGUAGGCGGUUUGUCGCGUCUGCCGUGAAAGUCCGGGGCUCAACUCCGGAUCUGCGGUGGGUACGGGCAGACUAGAGUGAUGUAGGGGAGACUGGAAUUCCUGGUGUAGCGGUGAAAUGCGCAGAUA